AAUUAGCUUCGGUACCAAAUACCCAACUAUGUUGAACAGGCGGUAGCGAAUCGAGGAACCAUAAAAGCAAAGAUGGCCCAUUUAAGGGGUUGAAACGGCCUCCACAACAGGAAGGGGGGUCUCUACCCGUCUCGUUCUCUUCUCUUGCGCUUAGCUGAAAAUAGCAAGAACGGCUUGUUCCGUAGAAUAAUGGAGGAAUCCAAGAGGAAUCUGGCCUGUAUCUUGCGCGUUUCUCCAUCCGGAUUGGAAUUCCGUGAGUGGUAGCCCCAAACUUAAAGCGUAUCGAUCUGGAAGUUCUCCUGUGUUCCCUCCCCCCCCUUCCGCGACCCUAAGGAAUGCGCGACUGAGCCUGGAACACGUCAAUUGGAACUGAACGACAAACAGACACGGAGAUAACUACCCAGGAAGUGGAAUAGCGGCUGUGUACAAACUUCGGUUGUUGCGAUACCUACCAAUACAUCGGUUUUACAAGGUGUCAAUGAGAACUGCAGGUAAUCGUCGCAUGUGCUUCAAAAAGUGGUUAAAAAUAGAUGAAGCCCGACAAUUCUUUUUUGGGUAUGGCGGGACACUCUCCAUGAUGUGCAUGUAACGUACAUACAUUGUACUGCUCUGCAGUGGCAGACGCCAUACAUAUUUUGAAACAAAUGGAGGUCCGUUGAUGAGACCGCCGUCCUAGCGGCUAUAGAUCUGCCUUAGAGAAGGUAUUGGACGCAACGAUCAAUCGUUGCCAUCAAGAAGAGGCUUCUUACUUUUAUGUUCAUCUUAUUAAUUUCCUCCAUUUGCAUAUCUGAUCUCAGAGAGUCAUUGGAUUGCUUUGUUAGAAUUUAUUUGCCGA
rnacentral:sRNA from 1 species